rnacentral:lncRNA from 1 species
GGAAGCCUCUGGUGUCAGACAAAAACAACAGUAGGCAAUAUUUAGUCAAAAGAAAUCAUGUUCAUGCUUUUUUCUUGUUUUCAGUCCUGAGGAUUGAACCCAGGUCCUUAUCCAUCCAAGGUAAGUACUCCACAACCCAAUUUUUUUUUUCUUUUUUGAAGGACUAAAUAUUGAAAGUUCUAUUUUAGUAAAGAAUGAAGGCCUUUGUGAAAGGAAUGAGCUCUCUUACUUUACUUUUCUACUAAUAAGCUAACAACUACUGUUCUUUCUAUUUAAAUGUGUAUAAGAUGCCAAAACUCAACCAAGAGCAGAGAAAGAAAAUAUCACGAGAAGACAUAGAUAAAAAUGCCUUAAACCCGUCUAAUUUCAUAAUCAACAGAAACAACUCCCUUAAGAAUAUUCUGUCUUUUGUUCCAGAUGGGCAUAUCAUUGUCCCAUAUCUUUCUUGACCCUAAUAUCUAUCCUAUGUACUCUGUUUAUGGAUCAUCCUUGUAUCUUCCUUCACAUUUAGUUUCUUAAUCUUAGAUUAUUUACUGGAUUUCCACCUUCAUAAGAUACCACCAUCUCUGCAGUAACUGUGGAUAUCAACUCAUUUUAGAUUUGGCCUUAAUGGUCACCUUCACUUACUCAGUCUUACUAUCUUCAAAUACUGACCCUGGGAAGACAAAUUCCUAAGUUUAGUUAGAUACAGCCAGCAAUUACCAUGAGACCUAGCCCUUUUCAUGGCCUCUGACUUUAUCUCUCUCCAUCUCCUCUCUGCCUGACUUUGCCACAACACAGGUGAAGACCAGAGGCAGAUAUGAUCCAUGCAAUUAAGAAUUAGAAUCUGAAGGGCUGAAGAGAAACAGGACAAUAGAGAGCCACAAAGCAAGGAAAGCACUGGAAGAUGAGUUGGGUAUGGUCCUGUCCAUGGUAACACUCUCACUUUUUUUUUUUUACUUUAAAAGCAAUGGAAACAAUUGAAGCCCUCUUUUAAACUCUCUCUCUCUCUCUCUCUCUCUCUCUCUCGUGUGUAUGUGAAAUGAGAGAGAGUGGGUGGAUUGAUUCUCAUUAUUAGAUUUUCAGAUUUGCAUUUCAAAAAUAUCCUGGCUGUGAUGUGGAAAAUCAAUUUGAAUAGGGCACAUAUAGAUGUGCUCAAUGAAUAUGGAACUAUUUCAGUAAUGCAGGUGAGAGGUAGUGAGAGCUAAAAACUGGACAGUGGCAGAGAUGGAAAUGGAAAGAAGGGAAGUCAUAAAAAUGGACAAAAUUUCAAGACAGAAUGUAUUUGGGGGAUUAGGAGGAGAGAAGUAGCAAGGUGCCUAUAUUUCAAAUAUGCAUAAUUGAAGUAAUGGUGGUAUUGUUCACUGAGAAUUAUAUCACCAGAAAAAGCUCCCCUAUCUCAGAUUGUGUGUGUGUGUGUGUGUGUGUGUGUGUAAGCAGAUCAGAGACAGCAUAAGAAUGGUAAUGGAUACAGUGAAUUUGAAACAAGCAGAAAUUAGAUUGGAAUCAGCUGAUGAGCAGUCCCAUCUAAAUUUACAUGGUUUUGAGUCAUCAUUACAUAGGCAGUAAUUGAAACAGAGGUGUAGAUGAGAUUGCAGAGAGAAAGUGCAGCAUGAGAAAAGACAAGGCAAAGGCUUGCCCCCUGAGGAUCUCUAACAUUUAAGGAUCAGGUAGAUGAUAAUGAGUGUUAAAAACAAGGCACCAGCAAAGUAGCAGAAAAAGUAGCAGAUUAUUUUGUAACCCAGGUCUAGAGAAAAAAAGUUUCAAAUAUCCACAAUGACAAGCAUACAAUAAGAAAUUACUAGACAUAUGAAUUAGUAACAAAAUGUGACCUAGGGAGGAAAAAACAGGAAAUAGAAAUAAACCCAAGGAUGUUGGGAUUAGUAGACAAAGAUUUUAACACAGCCUUUAUGCAUAUAAGCUUAAAGGAAAAGCUAGAUAUAAUGAGUAGACAGAUAAACAACCUUAGUAGAGAAAGAAAAAUUAUCAUAGAGCACUUGCCUGGCAUGUGUGGUGCCCUGGAUUUGAUCUUCAGCACCAUGUUAAAAAAAAAUUAAAUGGAAAUUCUAUAACUGAAAAAAAAAUCUAAAAUGAAAAGCUCACUAGAUGAACUUAACAACAAAAUAGAUGCUGAGUUUGGGGGAAGAAAGAUCAGUGAACUUGAGGACAGAGAAGUAAUUGGAGUUGCCCAAAAAUGAAGACAGAGAGAUUAAGAUUAAAAUAAACUUAAAGAAAUGAAAAUUAUAUUUUUUCAUAUUUUAUGAAAAAUAUCAACAAAGAUCCAAGAAGUUUAAUGAACAUCAAAUAGAAACGGAAAAUAGCAGUGGCUGCCUGACUUGAAAUCUCUCUGCAUAAUUUUUUAGAAACCUCUAAAAUAAAUAGAAUAAUGAUGGAAAAUAGCACCAUGCCUUCAGCAUUACUAAGAAUCAGAGAAUCCUACAAGCUUCAAGUUAUCAGUAAGUAGAAGGAUGAACCCAAUACCAACAGCACUCCCUUUAGCCUAUUGCUUCCAGCCUAAGGAUGUGGAAAGGGGAGCAGGGAACACUAAAGGACUGUAUGAAAAAGAGCACCGGGUGUUAAGGACUUACGUGAAGCAUGGAUAGCCUCAAUAGAAAGUCCAACUUAAUAGAGAUAGGACAUGAUCUGGACUUGGUAGUUCACAACACCAGCUACAGGGAAAGGAACUGGAAAUGAGUGAGACCAGAUACAGCCACAGAGGAGAAGCGUGGCUUCCUGGGAGAAUGAGAAACAGGGAAGUGCUGGUAUUUCUUGGAGACAUAGCAGUGAAAAGGAGAAGACAAAAGACAUAGUAGUCCCUUUCCUUCUUCCUAUCAUGGCCAUUGAUGUUUUCCAUAAGAGAAUAUGCACAGAAAAGGGCAGAACUCAUAGGAGAUAAGGAACCCUAUAGGAGGAAUCCUCUCUACAAAAUGAAUAGAAUAACGUUAUCAUAUUCAAACAAAAUUGUUAUUUAAAAAUGAAUCAAGCUAAUUCAGCCAAAGAAAACAUUCCUUCUGACUUGCAAAACAAAAAAUCAAAAACCAAAAAACAUGAACUUGAAAACUGUGGUAUAAUAACUCCAACAAAAAUUAAUUUGACUCAAAGAAGAAUGUGGAGAUAUAUAAAAAGAAAACAUUGAAUCAGAAAUACAAAGGCCCAAUACAAAUGAACCAUUAGUGAAGGAAGAAAUAAAAUGAUAGAUGUUGAACUUAGGAUAUAAAAUAAAAAGACAAAGUCAUAUCAGAAAUGUAAAUUAAAUUGCAAGACCUAAGAAAGAAUACAUUUAAAUGAAAAUUUAAUAAAUGGCACUGAUGAAAAGGAGGAAGAUAAUCCAAUAGAGCAAGAAAUGAGAUAAAGAAGUUAAAAGGGUUGGAGGAAAGAUUGAAAGACAGGCCAAGGACGUCCAACUGGAGUCCUCGAGUGAGGGUUAUAAGGAAUCAAUUAAGAAUUGACUCCACAAAUGGAAGGAUUCACCUGGAGGACUGACCUGGAAUGAUCAUCUCAGAGAUAUCCUAGCAAAACUACUAGACUUCAAAAGAUAAAGAAAAGAAAAAUCCACAGGGCCUUGCUUUAGUCAUCUAUGUCACUGCUGUGACUAAAUGACCCAACCAGAACAACUACAGAGGAGGAAAAGUUUAUUUGGGGGCUCAGGGUUUCAGAGAUCUUAGUGCACAGAAGGCCUGCUCCAUUCCUCAGGGCUCAAGGUGAGGCUGAACAUCAUAGUGGAAGAGUGUGGCGGAGGGAAGCAGCUCACAACAUCAGGAAGCAGAGAGGGAGUUUCUACUCUCCAGAUUCAAAAUAUGUACCCCAAAGCCAUGCCCCCAAGCCCCACCUCCUCCAGCCACACCCUACCACUCAGUUAAUCCCUAAAAGGGAAUUAAUUUACUGAUUAGGUUAAGAUUCUCACAACCCAGUCAUUUCUCCUCUGAACCUUCUUGCAUAGUCUCACAUGGGAGCUUUUAAACCAGAACAAGCCUCCAGGAAAAAAAAAGGUGAAAAGCUUGAAAGAAGAGGAUUAGGUUGGCAUCAGAUUUCUCAGAAACAGUACGUAAACCAUGACAAGAAUGGAGCAGCAGCUGGGCCCAGAGGGACAUACCUGUGAUCCCAGAAACUUGGGAGGCUGAGGAAGGAAGAGCGCAAGUUCCAGGCCAGCCUCAGCAACUUAGCAAGACCCUCUCUCAAAAGAAAGACCAAAAGUGGUAAAGGGUCCCUGAGUUCAAUACCCAGGCAAAAAAAAAAAAGGAGUAGAGCAGCAUUUUCAAGAAACUUAGAAAAGAACAUGCCGACCAAGAACUUUAUAUCCAGUCAAGCUCUUCCUUAAUGGUUACUACAAAGGUAACCAUUAGGACAAUAUUAAAAUAUUUAAAAGCAGUUUUAAAUAUACAAGAACUCAGGAACACUGUGCACUUCUGCCCUUUCUGGGGAAUCCACUAGAGAACGAGCUUCAUUCAACUAAAAGGAGUCUGAGGAGACAGCAGCCAAAGCCCUGAGGGUGAGCAUUUUAUAUAUUUAACUGUGGAUUUAAGGCUAAUACAAGGUUGAAAACAUGGGUACAGGGAUGGAACAUAACAUGUGUGUUCUAACAGACUAGAAAUAAUACAAUUGUUAAAAUGGAAGGAAGGGACCAGAAAGGAAAACAUAGAAUAAUGUCAUCAUUCAUAUCUAUAUGUAGUUGUCAAAGAUACCAUGUCAGGUGGACAGAACAGAGAGUAAAGACUAAUUAAAAAAAAAAAAGCAAUUAGGAACACUAUAAAGGUAACACUAGGUCAACGUUAAAUAUUUUCCUAUAUGCCAAGAGAAGUUUCCUAAAAGGGAAAGGAGAUAUACAAUUAGAAAAAAAUGAGCUCAGAAAGUGUGACAUAAGGCACGCAGCAAUGACACCAUAAGAUAAUAUAUGGCAAAAUUGGACCCCCAAAGAGCAGUCAUAUCAGCAAAUAUGAAAAAGAUUAAUUAGUAGAAAAUAACUUUCACUUCCAUGAUGGAGUAACCCUCCUGCUGUUAGUUAUCAGAAUACUGGCUGAAAUAUACAAAAUCCAGGUUUUGACCUUGCACCACAGGCAGCAUGGGGGAGACAAGGCCCUGUGGUGCCCCUCUUCACUGCCUGGAGGCAGCUGACAGUUCCCAGCAAGGGAGGAGGAGCCUUUAUUAUUCGUAUUCUUGAUGAUUGACAUUCUGAUUGGUAUAAGGUGAAAUCUCAAUAUAGUUUUGACUUGCAUUUCCCUAAUUGCUAAUGAUGUUGAACAUGUUAAAAUAUAUUUCUUGGGGCUGGGGUUGUAGCUCAGUGGUAGCAUGUUUGCUUAGCACAUGUGAGGCACUGGGUUUGAUCCUCAGCAUCAUAUAAAAAUAAAUAAAAUAAAGGUAUUGAAUCCAUCUACAACUAAAAAAAUAUAAACAUAUAUGCACAUAUCUUGGCCAUUUGUAUUUCUUCUCUUGAGAAGUGUCUGUUUAAUUUGUCAGCCUAUUUAUUAAUUGGGUUAUUUGAUUUUUUGACAUAAAGUUUUUUGAGUAUUUUAUAUAUUCUAGAUAUUAAUCCUCUGUCAAAAGAGUAGCUAGAAAAGAUUUUCUCCCAUUAUGAAGUUUUUCUCUUCACAUUCCUACAGAAGCUUUUUAAUUUGAUGUCAUUCCAUUUAUUAACUCCUGGCAUUAUUUCCUGAGCUUUAGGGGUCCCAUUGACAAUGUUGUUGCUUGUGCCUAAAAGCUGGAGUGUUGACCUACAUAUUCUUGUAGAGUUGCUUAGUUUCUAAUCUAAUCCCUAGGUCUCUGAUCCAUUUUGAGUUGAUUUUCGUGCAGGGUGAGAGAUAAGGGUCAAGUUUUAUUCUUCUACAUAUGAAUGACCAAUUUUCCUAACAUCAUUUGUUUAAAAGGUUGUCUUUUUCCCAUUGUAUGUUUUUGGCACCUUUGUCAAGGAUCAGAUGACUGCAGAUGUGUGGGUUUGUCUCUGUGUCUUCUCUUCUAUACCAUUGAUCUAUGUGUCUGUUUUUAUUUCCAUACCAUAAAGAUUUUGUUACUGUAGCUCUGUAGUAUAAUUUGAAAUCAGGUAUGGUGAUGAUUCCAGCAUUGCUUCUUUUGGCUUAGAAUUGUUUUGGCUAUUCUAGGCCUUUUAUUCUUCCAAAUGAAUUUUGGGACUGUUUGUCUAGUUCUGUGAAGAGUGGGGGUUGCAUUGAAUCUGCAUAUUGCUUUUGGUAGUAUGGCCAUUUUAGCAAUAUUAAUUCUGCCUCUCCAUGAACAUAGUGGUCUUUCCAUCUUCUGAGGUUUUCUUCAAUUUCUUUCUUCAAUAUUCUAUAGCUUUCAUUAUACAGGUCUUUCACCUCCUUUGAAUGCAUUCUCUCAUAAUGUGUUUGUGUGCCAAAAGAAAGUGGCAUCAUGGACAGGUAUUUGCUUUUCAAAAAAUACAGAGACCUCCUGAAGAAUAAUUUAGGGUAACUAAACAUAACUGUGAAUCCUAAGGGCUAAGGAAAGAAAAAAAGUUAGAAUGCCACCAAGAUCAUGUGGAAGCUCAUCCCCAGGGAACCUCCAUAGGACAGGAGGAUUUUCACCUGUCCCUCUCCUUCACCUUCCUUGCAGAUUUCUGAAAAAAUAACCACAGCCCCCAUAUCUCCAAUGUAAUUGGUCUUAAACCAAAGUGGUUGCAUUUUUUUUUAAAAGGAAGGAAAACUUAUUUGGCCAUGCCAUUAUAAAGAACAUUUAGAAAAAGAGGUUUCAAGAUGAAAUUCUGCCCCAAACAAAAGAGUUGAAUUUUCAGUCAAUUUUAUACAAAACAGGAAAAUUACAUGAAAAUGGUAGGCUCCCACACAGCAAGAGUUUAACUUAGAAAAUUAAAACCUUCCUGGGAAACAACUUGUUUUUUGCUUACACAACAGAUGAAUAGAUCUAAUAGCACACCAGUUCUAGAUGAGGGCUUAUGUGGAAUACUGAUAGCAGCUAUUUUAUACUGACCAUCUACUAUGUCUAGCUGCCCGUUAGUCACUUUAUAGCAAGCCUGCACAGCAACUGUGAGAAGCAGGCAUUAUUUUUAUAGAUGAGCAAAUUCAGACUCAUUGAUGCUAACAAUUAGCAGUAGGUCACUUUGUUACAAGUGGCAGAACAAGAUCUAAGUGUAAGUGUGUUUGAUCCCAAGGCAAUGCAUCUUUGCCACCUUGUUUCUGUCUUCAUCUCAUUGCUUCAUAGCCUAGAAUAAUGGCCAUUUUUGAGCUAUUCCUCUCAAAUAUGGAAUUCAUAAGCAGUGAGUGAAAUUGUAAAUUUGCCUGUAGUCAAGUCUAUGGAAGAAAUUAGUCAGUCUGCUCUGAAAAAUAAAAUUUCCAGGAGAGCUAAAGUCCUUUCGCUUUCCUCUUUCCCAACUACCCAUCAAAUGAGACUGCAAGUGGAGAGUUGGAAGGGACAGCAGCUGAGUUACCUGAAGUCCCCAUCAGUAAUUGCAGGCUUGACAGCUGCAGUACAAUGAGAAAUGGAAAAGAUCAUCCUUGGCUCUGACAGUUCCCUGCCACCUUGACAAGUGGUGUGAAUAAGAUCUGAGGCAGUUUGGAAGGGGCUCUUCUCCCACAACUUGGACAGUAGAGAUUGGGAAGGUUGUAGGACCCCAGCAGGAAGACCAGCCAGCCCAAGUUACAGAAUACAGCUCCAUUCUGCCAUCCAAAUAUUUUAGGGAUGUCAUAUCCAGGGAAUCCUUAAGGAUACUUAAGAGUAUACCCUGAAGACAUUUCCCUACCACAGACCUCUGAUUUCCUUUGAUUUCUUGAUGUUAUUAUACAAAGAGAAUUUAAACAUCUCUGAGAGUAAAUGGCACACUUAAAAAAAUUAUUUUCACCUAAAAUCCCAGGUUGCCUUGAAAAUUAAGAGAAUGGAACAGAAGGUAUUAGAAGGCUGAUCUUCAAAAGAGGCUUGACAGUUGUAUCAUUGGAAGGACUUUGGGGAACUCUAAAUGCUAUAUUGGCUCUCAACAGCCAAAUCUCUGCUAUGGUGAACUGCAUUUCUUUGAGCUCAUCUGCCUGAAAUCUUGAGAUCCUUAGUCUGUGAGAAUCUGCUCAGUCCUAAAGGCAGAUUGCCACUUUUGACUCUUGCAUGCUGAUAUUGCCUUGAUGAACCCCAGAUCCUCAGCUAGAGAGGCCUCAGAACUGAUGGACAUCUCUUUAACACACAGUGUGCACAUGCUGAACUCUGAGGCCUCUCUGCACCUUCCUGGCUUCUACCCAGCCCCUACGGAGGCCUCAAUAUGUGUGCCACAAACCAGACAGGUCCCAAGAGUUUGGCAAAGCGUCCCCCACACAGUAACUUUUGCGUCAUUCGUGCCUGCCUACGCCCCCCACACCCAGCAUCUGCAAUGUCUUGGAGCAGAUGAACUACUGUUUCUUACAUAUUCAUAGUCAGGCUGAAUUCAUGGACUGAGAAAACAUAUUUUAUGUGUUUUCCAAUGUUCCCACUGGAUGGUUUAGCAGUCUCCUGCUGCAGCCGUUUACAUAUUCUGUUAUCCGGAGGGUAGCCAGCCAGUGGAAGGAUGGGACAAUACAUUGCUGUCCCUGGGCUCAGCACAAACAGUGCUUUAAAUAUAAAUGAUGAGCUUUAAGAGUGAACUUAGAGGGUAAUUUCCAACCUCUUUCAUCUUUCCUCUAACACUACAAAGACUCAUUGUAUUUUUAUUCGUCUUUUGGCAUCGUUCAUAUACUGAUACCACACUGUGUCUUUGGGAACCCAGGACUACUUGCCUGGAUUCUAUUUCUUCAACUUGUUUGGAAAUGGAAACAUAAUGGGAGAGCACUCUCAGUUCUUUAUAACCUUAACCUCAGUUUCAGGAUCUUCCCUGUAAUAUAGCCAUCCUUUAGUAUUCAGGGACCCCCUGUGGAUACCAAUAUCUGCAUAUACUCAAGUCCCUUACAUAAAAUGGUGUAAUAUUGACAUGUAACCCAUGUCCAUCGUCUCAUAUUAAAUCAUCUCUAGUUUGUUUAUAAUUCCUAAUAUAAUGUAAAUUCUAGGUAGUUGAUAUACUUUAUUGUUUAGAGAGUAUUGCCAAGAAAUAAAAGUUUGUAUAUAUUUAGUACAGGUGCAAUAUUUUUCAAAUAUGUUUAGUCCAUGGCUGAUUGAAUGUCUCUGUGAAUGUGGAAUUGGGCCAACCAGAAUAAUAAAAAGACUAAGCAGAAAUUUGCUAAGCAGAAAUUUUAGAACAUGGUAGCUUCAAGGGCAUCCUGUAAAAGAUAAGCUGACCUGCAUGUUGGCUAUUAUUAUUACUCUUCUAAACUUAGGUAAGCCUCUGGAAGAGAGGUCCUAAACAGGAGGAUGUACCACCAGCCCAGGUGGGCACAGUCUCAAUGAAGUGAGGUGAACAAAUUACAGAUCUCCUGGAGACAAGUGAGUAGAGCCAAGGUCAGGCUGAUUGAAGGAAAGGCGUGGAGAAAGGAAAGUUCUCUGUUUACCAUGAUGCCAAGAUUAUGUUUCUGCUUCUGAACAUAUGAGGGAGAAGCUCAUAUGUUUUCUUUUUUAGAGAACAAUAAUGUACAUCUGGUGACAGUUAAGAAGCAUGGUAGUUCAAAGUUAUUGACCAGAGCCAUCUCAUGCUCUUUCUCUUGUGCUAGCUGAUGCUAAGCUUUCAACAAGUCCCAUCCCAGAGCCAGAGGCCCCAUCCUGGUAGGUAACUGUGGGCCCCAUGUUUCAAGCAAGAGAACUUUAGAUACUAUGUUCUGUUCUUGUGACAAUCUGAAGUUGAAGGCUCUAGACAACACCUAGUAUCCACCCGCUAACAUUGCAAUAGUCUUUAUCUCCCCAGAGCCCACAUGGAGCUCAUGCCCAAGACCUUCCUGGGAACUGGGAAUGAACACCGACACAAGGAAUUUAAGAGGCAUAUAAGAGUAGAUGUGUGAAGUUUUCCUUCCCUUAUUUUCUGGACCAGUGUUCAAUUAUGGAACUCUAGUUCCUAAUGGACUUGGUUCUCAUAGGAGUCAAGCAAACAGGCCUGUACAUCAAGCCCAAGACGGGCCAUACCCAUGCAAUCACAUUUUGUUUAAUGGCUGCUAGCAAGUAGCACAGUUGAGUAGCUGGUUACAGAAAACAGAUUUCUUUUCUCAGAAGUCAACUUCUUUAGACUACAUUCUCUUUAUUGAUUCUAUAAAGAGAAUUCAGGAAGCAGCUCUUAGAUCCAAUUUUUCCUGCUUAUUGCUAUCCCUGCUCUCCCUUAGCCACGUGAAAAGAAUAAUUUGCAGUAGGAAGGAAAAACAGAAACGGAUCAGAACAGCCUUUCUACAUCUUUGCUAUCCUCUCUAAUGGUGGCCUGCAUGGUGAUGAGUGGGCCAGACUAAACACCAUGUCUCCAAGGGUCCUCUUGGCCAUGGUUGUUGGAAUAUUAUUCAUUCUUCUCUAUCUGUAGCUCAGCCUUUUCUUCACUCCCUGACUCCCACUUUUAGAUCAGAUGUUGUCUGGGUGCUGGACCCAGGAGAUCCUGUGAGCUCAUCCUGGCAGCCAUCUGAAGUCAUGUGUAGAAGAGCUGAAUGAAGAAAGAUAUGGAGCAGAUGCUCAAAGACAAAGACAGCCGAGAAAUAGGGAGAAAGAAAAGCUGCUUCUGUGAACUCUAGCUCUCAGCUAGUUUCAUGUGUAAUUCUCCAAGCUGGUUCAUAGCAUUCCUUACAUGUGCAAGUAAUCUUCACUUAAGUUAGUUUGAGUGGGUUUCUGGUCCUAGAACUGAAUGCACCCCAACUCCAAGAUGAAGUGGCUGGAAUAGAGAUGCAAAGUGGAGAGCAAUAAGGGAGGCAGAAGGACUUUUCUGAAGCAAGUAAAUCUUAAAGAGUCCAAGUACAUGCACAAUGUUCACACAUUCCAAGUUUUGUGAGACAGCCAUCCUGGCUUCAAGUAUGUCAGCUUUCUCAAAUUACUAUUUAGACAAGCAUGUUAUUUAAAUGCAUAAACUUAGCAUUGGGAAAGGCCUUCCUUAAUAAGACAUGAGCCUGGAAUCCAUCAGGAAAAUAAUAGAUGGGCAGAUGAGACUAAUCACUCCUAAAUUUUAAAUUGCCUUUAGUGAAAGACACUGUGAACAAAAUUAAGAGUGAAGGGACCUUUUGGAUAUAAGUAACAGCUGGGGAUCCCUUGCAUAAUAUAAACUCCCUCCUGCUACAGACCAGGUACUCCUUCAAGGCCAUUACCCAGGCCCAGCCCUGGCUUCCUGGCUGCCAUGUCUACUGAGAGUGUCACAACUGUUGGCAACAAGACCAUGACCUCUUGCUGUCCCAAAAUGAGGAAAUGAAAGGGAAGAAAGAGGAAAUAGGCUGGAAUGAAAAAUGAAUGAGAACCAAAGAGGGAACAAGAGAUGUUGAGAAAGAUGAAAUAAAUGAGCUGUUCAUCUCAGUUUCUGAGCUCUCCUUUGUGCCACCCUAGUGUUGCACUAAUUAAUUUAAGCUGUUAUUGUUUUACUCAGGGACUUGUAAAAAAGGGUUGUGGGACCAAAAUUAAGUGAGUAGUCAUAGUGGUGGUUCAGAAUUCCAACCCAUUCCCUCUGACCCCAAGCCAUGUUUGGGCAAAUUCAACAAUCCAUGCAUCAACCUAAGGCUUCUGAAUGGAUUUUUGAAGUCUAACAUUUCCUUCCAAUAUUUAACCUUUCCUUUUCCCCAAAACAAAUUUCCCUUUAUUUUUACCACCCACUUGAGUGGAGAAUUGAAAUUAAGUUUCUUUUACUUAAUAGCUUGCCAAACAAUAAACAGCUCUCUCAAACUAAGCCACCUCUUAUCUAGGGAGAGGGCAAUAAAAAUAGUGAUUUAUGUAGUCAAGAGUACAGUGAGACAUUUUUAUAGCAUUGCAGAUGGGCUUCCAAAUUGCAGAGCAGAUUUAUUUCUUUCUGUAUAUCUCAAUUUCUCAGCCCAUAAUUUGAAAAUAAUAACAGCUGCCCCUUUCCUACUUCUCCAGUGAUUUGGUUAGAUCAUGAGGGUUUAUAUACGAAAGCAUUUUGAAUCUUAGAAGAGUCAAAUGAUGAAAUCAUCCCAUUUAUUAUCAUAUAGAAAAGUAAUAUAAUGAGUAUAAUUAGGCAUAUAAUGAUGUUUAUGGGGUACUGAUUUGGCCUGGAGAACACUGGACUCCAUGCAGUAUGAAUCAAGUUGAUUAAGGGGACACAAAUGGAGUAUCACAAUUUUGUAUAUAUCUUUGAUUACUCUAGAGUAACCAUUAGAAGCAUGUAAAAGGGUGGGAUGUUUAGAGAAAUGAGAUCUGCAACUAUGCCUUAUUCCUCCUGCAAGUUUUUAAAACAAAACUGCUUGAGUUAGGAAUCCUUUUCUGGCUUCAUUAGCAGCCCUGGUUCUGCACGGCCUCUAUUCCAACUUUAGCCCCAGGUGAACAUUAGAUCUAUUCUUAGCACACUUCUGGGCCCUUGCUCUUCUAUCUAAGCCAGGGGCGCCCCAUCCUUGAGAUCUGACAACCCAGAUUAGAGGCGCACUAUACAGUGUUGAGAAUGGGGGCCUUGGAGACCUGGUUGUGGUUCUCAGCUCUGCUCUCUGGUCUGAAAUCUUUCCACAUCUGUAAAAUGGACAUGAUGAUACAUACCUACUCAUAGGGCUUUUAGGACAAUUAAAAGAGGCAGAGUUCAUAGAGCACUUAGCAUCCUGCCUGGUAUAUCAAAUGGUGAUUCCAAUUUUUAUUGACAUAUUGUGAAAAGCAUGGUGGAUGGGCCGGGUAGAAUAAUUGGAUCAGUGAUUCUUCCAGGGAGUUCAAUAUUUUACUUUGCUUUUAGUUAUUUACUUUUCUUGCAGAAAAUUCUUUUUAAAAUUAUGACCAAAUAAAAUCAUUACUUAUGCUAUUAUAAUUUAAAUGGCUGAAUGAAUACAACUUUGACGGUUUUAUCAAGUUUCUGAUUGUAAUAAAAAAAUCCUUUUCAUCGACUGGGAUUUCAGGGCAUUGCAUUGGAAAAUAGUUAUUAAGUUGAUAAUGGGUUGAGGGUCAUAUUAUAUAUCCUCUAAUAUCCAUUUCUACACUCUUAUAAUUACAUGAGCCUAUGUCCUUGAACUUAAGGCCAGCCAUAAAAUCCUACCUCCCAAUGUUCCCCAGAAAAUAACACAAAAAUUCAGUAUGUACUGCAUAUUGUCUAUUGAGGCAAUUGCUUUCCAUGCAUUCUCUCUUUCAGUCCUCAACCUUAAGAAGUAAGCAAUAUCUUUAGUCCCACUUUACAGAUACAGAAAUGGAAGCUUAGAGAAGUAAUUGCUGUAUGUCACAUAUCUAGGCAAUGAUGGAAUCAAAAUUUGAACCAAAGUCAUCUGGCCCAAGAGCACAUGCUUUAGCAACUUGCCAUGAUUUAUGCAUCAAAAUGUGGCCGCUGCAGGCCUUCACGGACUAGCCUUGAACUCUGGUGAGUAGCUUUGCCAUCUCACAGCAGCUGACAGGUUCACGUGAGGCCAAUAUCAACUGGUGCCAAGUCACCAGGUGUGGUAUCUGCUCUGAGUCUGUAGCUGGUAAGAAAAUCAAUGACACGUGGAAGAGAUGAAGAACGAUUCUAUUGGUUGGAAUGUGCAUGUGCAGAAUAUAUCUAGAUAUUUAAAAAUGUUCAAAGCCUAAAUUUUAACAAAUUCCAUGUGCAGAGAAAUGUCCAUAGUUAAUAUUUAAGUGGGAACAUACGGUAAUUAAUUCAUUCCUGACCAAUAAAAUGGUUAGAAUUUGCUCAGAAAUGACUUUUGUCAUAAAAUAGAAAUAAUCAGCAUUAAGCUUCUCAUAUACCUUAUUUGUUUCUUUUCUUGUUCCUUAAAUUCUCAAACAUUCCCUGUUUUUGCUUCUUCUCUCACUCUACUCCUUCAUAAGAAUGAAAGCAACUCAUUCAAAUGUGUUCUUUCCAUGGAUAGAGUUUACUUUACUCUCCUCCAUAACUGGCUAGGCCUAUUCCCUUUGGAUAAUAAUUUUGUUAUAAUAAUGUUGGAGAAAAGAGGGGUGCUGUUUCCUCUUAGAAAUUCAGCCUGUAUAACAUUCACCACCUCAUACAGGUUUUACAAGGCCUUGUUCCUUAAUAAGAGAGGUCUACACAGCUAAUGCCUGUUGAGUGAUCACUAGGUCCUAGGUCCUAAGUACAGUAAACUUGCUUACCCAAUUAAGGAUAUGAAAGAUUUGUUAGGUCUCUCUGACUGCAGAGCCUGUGCUUAUAACUACUGUGCUACCCUGUCUUUCUAGAAAAGGAUGGUUUCUGUGUAUUAUUUCAUGAUAAUUUUUUCCUGGGAGUGUAGACAGUCAUAGUAAGAACAUGGGAUGUCACCUGCUGUAGCUGUCAGAAGUGGAACAAGAUUGUGGCUGGGCUCUCCAUUCCUAGGACAAAGAGGAAUGAAGAUUCCAUUUAUAUAAACUGAAGGAGCAGAAAUAUUCAUGAUUUAGAGAGAAGAAUGUGACCAAUUAUGUGGAAUCCAACUGAAUUUUAGAGUUGAGCUAGGCUUUAGCAAUGAGCUCCUCAAACCACUUUCUUUGCAGUUGAGGAAGCCAAGGAUCUGGGGGAAUUAAGUGCAUUGUCUGAGGACACACAGCCAGUUAGUUAGAGGCAGAGCCAAGGCCGAAUAUUUUGGAUUUAAACUAAACUGCUUUUCUCAGUCCACCUUCAUUUUGCUUGGGGUUUGCUUGUUUUCAAAAGGUCUCAAAGAUUGGAAAAUUAAAUUGCUUUUAGCAGUACAAUUUCAUAUUAUAUAGUUCUGCUCAGAGUAAUUAUAAUAAUAAUCCAAGAGUUUUUCCAAAUCUGUGGGUUCCAAUGUUUCUGCCUGUUACUAAGCUAAUAUAUAGAAAUCCAGGGUCACAUUUAUACCACAUAAAAUUUCCAAAGAGCUAGGCAAUUUCCUGUAAAAACUCUGUUGAGUACUGAUUGCCAAGUUGAGAAAUUCGCAAUUUCCCAGCAACUCCCACUUUCUCGUGUUCCGGGGAAUGCAAACUUCUUAGCACACCACAUCUCCUGACUUAAUCUCCUCCACCAUCGGCCAUGACUCAAGUCCCACUGACCCGUUCGUUCUUGCUUUUAUUGCUUAUCUCUCUUUUGAACCUACAACUCCCCUGGAACUCUCAGCCUCUGAAUGACCCAUAUAUGAGGAACUCCUGAGAUGAAGCAUUCAUACUUCUCUCACACUAGACGUAGUUUUGGCCUAGAACCCAAGCAAAUUCAUUGCUGUUCCUGUGUAAGUCUUAAUCAGUCCUUUAAAUACCUUAAUUCCUCCUAGGUAAAAUGUUGACAACAAUCCCUACCUGCUUUAUCUUUCAGGGUUAUUCUGAAGAGUUUAAAAGUUAGAAUCUUGGAGACAGAAUCUUGUUGACAAUCUGGGCCUUGUGAACACUACAUAUUAGGGUGGAGAAAAUGGAGACCCAGUGUUUCUGUGAUUCCAUAAGCUCAUUGAGGUCCUUGAGGUCAUCCAGAUCCUGACCAGUGACAGAAUUAGGACUAAACUUUAGAUCUUUCACUACUCAGUGCUGCCUGUGAUAACAGAUACCAGAGCAUGCUUAAAAGUACAAAUCAUGACACAGAGGCAACCUGUAAUUAUUUAGGUGUUAGUUAAUAGAUUGUGUAUGCAGUCAGCACUAACGAAAAUUUUCUCAUGCCUUAUCAUGACUGUAGGCUGUCAGAAAUGUCUGCAGAUGGCAAAAUUUUGUUGGAAGGCAAAUUCUUUCUUUUCCAACAAAUACAAGGAAAAUAGGAACUGGACAUAUUUAAACUUAGCCUCCUUUAGCAGUCAUCUCGUCACUUUUUUUAUAAAAAUAAUUAUUGUGCUUUAUAAUUCAUAUAUCAAAGAAUUCCCUGCAUUAUGCACACAAUUCAGAGGAUUUUAGUGUGUUCCCGAGAUUGUAUGAGCCUUCCCACUUCCUAAUUUUAAACAUGCUCAUCAUCCUGUUGCUUUUUGAAUGUUCAUCUUAUCGGGUUGAGUGGAGUUUGGCUCUUAGUUCAAGCAUAUUUUGUCUGGUCUCUUGGGUAGAAUACAUCUUGGCUGAGAUCAGAUAUUCCAAGUUCCCUCUACACUUGGAGAGUUCGGGGUCUAUUAAACAUUGGACUCCUUUGGGAAUGAGCCAGGUGUCAGGAUGGGACAGGCACUAAGCCUCAACAUUAGCCUUAGCAACAAGAAUUGGAACCUGAAAAGUAAAACACAGCCAUUAGGACUGAUCUGCAGGGAGAAAAUGGGAGACAUUUUCCCAGGCCAGUGGUGAGUAGAACUGGAAGUGGGAAGAACUGCUGAUUUAAUGCUGAUAGUUUUCCUGGCUCAGGGACUUUGUGCCUGUGGAGUAAUCCUUCAACCUCACCAAACCCCAUUUUCACUUGGUCUGUUGUAAGCCUCCUAGGAUUCCUGAGAUCUACUCUACUAGAGUAGAUGCUUCAAUUUCCUGUAUCUUGCACCAAGCUCACCCUUGCAGGCCGUGAUUACCCCCAAGCUUCUUUGAGUUCUCAGUAGAUAGCAAGCUUAAAGGGAAGCAGCCCUGUCUUGUUUGGUGGCCCACCCAUCCUUCCCUCAGCGUCAUUUGGCAUCAUGCUCAAUAAAGAUUUCUUGAGCAAAUUAAAAUUUGUCCACAUGCUCAGAAUUCUCUUUAUAUAUCCCUUAAAUAAUCAAACUAAAAUUGACUGCUGAGACUGUACCCAAGCAUCCCAUAGUUCUUCACAAAAUCAUAAUGAUUCUGGGUCAAAACUACUUUCUAAUAGCGUUCACCUAAUACCCCAAAUUUUGCUCCAGAGAUCAAGAGAGAAGUAAGUCUCUGCCUUCUUCUCCAUAAUACUUUCAAGUAUUUUAAAUGAGCUGUCAUGUCCUCUGUAUCUUUUUUCCUCUGGGUUAAACCAGUCUUACUUCCUUUAGUAGUUAGGCAUAAAAUAUGAAUUCCAUAAUCAUUCAUUCAUUCAACAAAUAUUUUUAAGCACGUUCUGUAUGUAAGGCACUGGGCCAGGUGCCCCUGGACAGAAAGGACAUGACACAGACUCUGCCCUGUAGGUGUGUAUGUUCUAUUCUAGUUGUGCUAUCCCUAUUCUCUGGGCUUUCUCUAAUUGGCCAAUGUCCCUUUCCAAAUGUGGUUUAUAGAACUUAAUAUUUGAUCACAAGUGGUCUGACCAGCACAGAAUUCACAAGAACUAUGACUCAUGAUAUGGACCUUGUGCUUCCAAGAAUUUUUGAUCAUUCAUAUUAUCCUUAAGAAAUGUUCAGGUACUUUCUCUCUCUUUCUCUCUCUCUCUCUCUCUCUCUCUCUCUCUCUUCUCUCUCUCCUGCUCUCUCAGAUAUAAGAAGAUGUUUUGUUAAAAUUUUGUCUGUUCUUUGUGAUUAAACUAAAUGUGUGGUAGUAUUUCUGGUGAUAAAAGUUCUAGUCAAAUGAUCCUUAUCCUGAGCCUCCCCUUUUCCUAGUACAUAAAAAACCCUUGAAAGGAAGCAGACUGUAAUCUUUGUAUCAGACUGAAAUCAUAAGGAUGGGUGGAUUUAAAAAAAAUAACAAGCCAGAACAUUUCACACUGUCACUAAUGGUUCUUUAUGAUGUUUCUGAAAAUAAUUGGAGGGGAAGCGUGGACAUCUGGCAUGUGAAUAAAGCUGUUUCUAAUUAUGGUGGGCUGUUUGUCUUCAAAGCAGAGUGGACACUGGGAUAUCCUUGGAUGUGUUCUUUAAUGGUAUUGCUCAGAACCUGGCCGCCCCCAACCUUCACCUAUCUGAAACACUUGGGGUGUGCCUCCCCUUGUCUUCACUCUGACCCAAAUAAGUUUGGUCCUUAAAUUCAUUCAGGCUUUGGGUUUUUACUUUGGGGUUUUGCUUUGAAGCUGGAAAUGUGAAUUUUUUUGGUCAUGCUGUUUCCUGGGUACUUUCCAUAUGUGCAGAAGACAGAAUAAUCAGGGUCCAGAGGUCAACCGAAGAGAAAGUACUUCUCAUUAGUGACAACUAGAGUAAUGUGGGAGAGUGAUGCCAGACUUGGGUGGUCAAGACACCCAGGAAUGAUUCCAGAAAAAGCAGACUGUGUGAGAGUCAUUCUGUUUUUUACGCUGAAUGUUACUUGGAGAAGGCAUUGUGCUGAGUAUUCACAAAUUGGUAAUUUCGCUGUUCAAUAUUUUCAAAUAAUUUUUCUUGGCCUACCAUCUCUUUAUUUAACCAAUAUGUAUUAGGUACCCAACAAGAACUUUAACCCUCAGAAACAAACUAUUUUCAAAGGUAUUAUCUUAAGAAGAAUCUGUAGCUUUCCAUUCUCCACAUGGUCCCCAAAGCACAUGUUGGGUCUCACCAUGGAUACCAUGACCACUUGUGGAGGGCAGUUGAGAGCAGGAAGUUUGGAAGCCUCCCAAGGGGAGCUUCUUGUUCUAGUAUUCCCUCAGGGUGGAGGACAGGGUUAGCAGGCUGCUCUUGUGACCUCCCACUUUGCAAAAGUCUCUUCUGGAACUCCAUGGUUCCUAUGGGAAUGUCUGAAAAUCAGUGUUCCUAAUGAAAAGGAAUUAUCUAAUCUUAAUUUUUUUUUUUUGUACCAGGGACUGAACUCAGGAGCACUCGACCACUGAGCCACAUCCCCAGCCCUAUUUUGUAUUUUAUUUAGAGAUAGGGUCUCACUGAGUUACUUAGUGCCUCGCUCUUUGCUGAGGCUGGCUUUGAACUCACUAUUCUCCGGCCUCAGCCUCUCAAGCCACUGGGAUUAUAAGCAUGGGCCACCACAACUGGCUUAAAAUUAUUUUUUAAGCAGACCUUUUCUUCUGACUACGUACUCACCAAAGAAAUUCUCCAUUACAUAUUUUCAUCAGAGAAAUUAAGAAAAUAAAGAUAAACACAAUAUAGGAAAUUAAAAUUAUCUGCAAUUCUGCCAUUCCCCUGAAUGGUAAAAUGGUAAUUAUUUUUAACUACUGGUAAAAUGUUUGUGUGUAUAUCUUUUAACCUAUCUAUAUCUGGUUUUUAAAUAUUUAUUUAUUUUUUAGUUGUAGAUGGACACAAUACCUUUAUUUAGUUAUUUAUUUUUAUGUGGUGCUGAGGAUCAAACCCAGGGCCUCACACAUGCUAGGCGAGUGCUCUACCUCUGAACCACAACCCCAGCCCUAUAUCUGUUUUUUUAUAAUUGUUUUAUAACCCACUUUGAAUGUAAUAAUAUUAUGAACAUUUUCCAGGUGCUAAUUUUUCUUGUACAAUAUAAUUAUAACAGCUGCAUAAUAAUUCAUUACAAACAUGCACCAAUAUUGACUUAACAAAUUGCAUAUUAUUGUACUUUCAGGAUGUUCUCAUUUUUCACAAACACUUUUAUAUCCAUAUAGAUGUACAGAGACAAAAAUGUUUAUCCUCAUACACAUAUGCAUGUACAUAUGUCUCUAGUAUUUUUGUCUAUAACUCUUUAUACCCAUUCAUUAUUAUUUCCUUAUCAAAAUCUCUUGAAGUGGACUUUAAGAUAAGCCUAAAAUUUAAGCUGUUUGAAAUGUAUAUAGGUAAAUUCUAGGUUCCAAGUAGUAAGGUCUGUGUCCCAAGUUCUAACCCAACUGUGUGACAUUGAGCUAGUUAAUGACUUUGUUAAAUGGGUGACAAGGUCAUAUACUCCAUUUAUUUUAAAAGAUCAUUCUGAAAAGAAUGUUGUAAGACUUUUGAAAUACAGCAUGUGAUAGGCACAGAUGAUUGUUUGCCUAGCAGUCUUCAUCAUUCCAAUAAACCAUUUUUUUUUUUUUUGGUAUUCACCUUUUCUCCAUUUCAGUCCCUAUACCUCUAGGGUAGGCCUAAAUCAUCUAUGCAUAAUCUCAUCAUCCUGCCAGUGAUAGGUUCAGAAGUAAACAUAUAAAUCAGUUCAGUUUAAUGAAAUUCAAGAAGUUUUCUGGGGCAUCUGGAAAAUCCCCCACUCUUAGAGAAGAAGAAGGUCCCUCUCCCUGGACAUUGUCAUUUAUAAAGAUCAAGCUUGGCCAUAUCAUUGCAAUAGCCAUAUUACCCCCAGCCUGAGAUUAAACCAAACACAGACAAGACAAAGCCAAGAAUCACGAAGGAAGGAAUGUGACUGGAAUGAACCACUGGGUUGCCAAACCGGAAGCUUGCCUUGUCUCUAAACACCCAGCCGUCAGACCCAAUUCUGAUGUCAUAUAUUCUCAGAAUCAGCAUUAUCUUAUAACUCUGGUUUUGAUCAUCAUUGUUUUCAUUUUCUUUCUUUCUUUUUUUUUUUUUUGUGGUGCUGGGGAUUGAACCCAGGGCCUUGUGCAUGCUAGGCAAGCACUCUACCAACUGAGCUAUAUCCCCAGCCCUCAUUUUCUUUCUUAAUUACAAGGAAUGCAUUUUUAGUCUCUUAUAGACUUCUCCUGUUAACAGUUUGUAUGCAUUCCUUUCCCAAUUUUCAAAAAAAGAAAAAGAAAAAAAAAAAGACUCAGGGGAACAUUUAAGUGAAAAGGAUAGUGCUUAUGUCAACAAUCCAGAAAUGACUCAUUUAAAUCUAGUGAACUAAAAGAGCCCAAACCAGACCUACCAAUUUGGUCUUAGAUAAGAAGAUGUUUCAAGUUGGAAGGAACAUACCAACUCAACAAUCCUGAUCCCAUUUUGUAAAUGAGGAAACUGAGGUUCCGAAAGACAUGAUGACUUACUACAACACCCUUGUCAGCUGGGCGUUCCCCGGGCAGCAGCUGCAGGACUGUAACCUGGCACUUCACUCUGACUCCUGCCAGUGGGGAGAUGUCAGACAAGAUAUAUCAUAACUGAUUCUGUGAACUCUUGGUUUCCUUAUAAAUCAAAGCUCUCCAAACUGUAGCAAGAAAGCAAAGAGCAAUGUUCUUGUCCACCACACUGGAAUCCAGGCUUCUUUUAGUUCUCCCUACUGAUUCUUUCUGGAAGUCCCUGGGAAGAUGUUUCACAAAUAACCCAGAUCUCUUCCUGGAGGGUCUCUGUUCUUGGUUGACACCUCUUGCUGCCCUUCCGCUACUUUGACUGUUAUUUCCUUGCAGUCCUGGGUCACAUUUCAUGCUUCAGCCAAAACUCUCCCUGAAUCCAUCUCCAUUUGACCUCUGGGUCAUUGCCCAUGUUCCUUCUGGCCAUCUCUGUGUUGUUAACUAUUUCCAUUCUUCUCUCUCUCUAGUACUGGAGGCCAGAGAACAACACCCCAAAGCAUGGCACUGUGGUAUGCUGAGGACUUCUGAACUGGAGGAUAUUGGCAGGGCCUUAGAAGCAGAGUCUCCUUCUGCCCUUCUUUCUCCUACUCUUCCUUAUUCCCGAGGCAGACCACAGAAAUGUAAGUCUCUCUUCCUCCAACCCAGCCACAAAACCUAGAAAUAUUGCUCUAACCUUCCCCUGCCUUUCUGUGAAAGAGGUGGACAUAAAGAAAUCCCCUGACAUUUUUUGAUAGUAGAUCAUAAGCUCCUCCCUCCAGAAAGGAUCCUGUCCUGUACCAGGAAGGAAGAAAUGAAUACCACAUGGAGAGGCCAUGAAAAAUCUGAACAGACAGGCCCUGCUGGGUUUCCCUCCCUCACUCUAUUACCAUGAGAUCAUAACCUUUUUCAGUCACAUUCCCAUAUGGCUGCCACUCUUCAUCAAAUCUAAGCAUGAAAACGAAUAGUUUUCUCUGGGUCUUUGGAUCUUCAUUUCUGAUGACUCCUGUGUCAUAUAAAGCUUAGAUUAAAUAAAUUAGUUAUGUUAACCUGUCUUUGGUUAUAGGAAGGUAAGUUCCCACCCUUAUGAUGGAUGAAAAAAGGUAACACUCCUUUCAGCCCUGACACCACCCAGCAAGACAACUCUCAUUUUCAUGGCUGCUGAUUCUGAGGUGGUUCAAAGGAGACCAAGACUCCCAGUGGGCAAUUCUUUGCUUCCUUAGCCAGCAGGCUCCUCUCUGGAGAUCAUUUGGCCACGGCUGGCUCUUACACAGCAUUACGUGGUAUGUAGGAACCCACCUCUUCCCAACAUUUGUCCUGGCUUUCCAUCUGCUCUGCCUAGCUCUUUCUUCACAUGGGGGUGUUUCUUAGAAAUCUUAUUUCCAAGUUAUCAGGUAGAACUAGAGCAGGAGUUCUUCAUCUAUGAUGAACUUCAGGGUGAGGAUAUGGCAUCCUCGAACCUUUUUAAAUUGUAUUCAAGGUUUUCUAUAAAAUAACAUUUUUUAUGAGAUAAAAGUCUCUAAAUUUUAUCAGAGGGUCAAAGGGGUCUGUGAGCCUCUAAUUGUUAAGAACCACUAUUUUCUAGAUGGUCUCUGAACUAUUCAGUCUCUAAAACUCUUUUAAGUUCCAAUGUUCUGUGACCCUGAGUGAGAUUCAGUAAUAUAGUCCUGUAGUAAAUUUACCAAAAGCAAAACCUUCACUCACUCUCCAAAACCACUCUAUUACAUUCCUGAGUCCAAAGGUGUUUGAAAGAGUAGCGUUUUAGCCUUAUUACAUGGACAUGAACAUGUUCUUUUAAGAGAAUAACAAAGGAUUAAGCAAUGAUUUUUUUUUAUCAGCAGUGUAACUCAUAUUCUACCCCAUAACAGGACUAUUUAUUUUAACUUAAAGUACUUACAAAUGUUGAGAGAUCUUUUGUUGAUAGGAGCAAGAUUUGGGAAGCCAUAUUGAGUGGAGGAAUGGUGAAAAGGAAUGGUGCUUGGAAUUCCUACCUCCCUCUCCAGAUGCUCUUUCUGUUCAAGCACUGGGAGGCAUGGGGAAUCUGGCAAAGCUCACUUCUCCUCUGUGAGGACUGUUGUUCCACAGUUGGCCCCUAGAAGUCGUUCUAGUGUUAGCAAGGAGCGUGGGAACCAAAUCGCAUGGAAGUCAGUGGUGAUUAAUGAUUAAAACUGUCAAGUGGUCAAGUGGUAAGAAGUGAAAUAUGGGAAAUUUUAAACCACAGUUGCAAGACAGAAUUGGAAAAGUAACACAAAAUCUUCCUAUAUCACUUAUGAUGAAACUUGUGCUAGCAUUAGUCUAGUAUUAAAAACAUGAUUUAAGAGUGAUAUUUAGAGGGACUUGUCAGUUGUAGCAGAACAUUUUAAUUGUAGUAAAAUACAGACAACAUAAAAUUUGCCUUCCUAACCAUUUUACGAAUGUGAAGUGCACUUUUUUAAAAAAAUAAAACUGUAUAGUCCAGAACUGAUAAGUGCAUUCUCAUUAUGGUGUAACUGAAAGAGGGAAAAAUUCUGAGAUGUUUUAAAUUUCAUUCCAGACCAGAGGAUGGAGGAGAAAAGAAAGAAACUAUUCACUUAACAACUGUGAACCAAGCCCCAAACCAAACAAAUACACAACACCAAAGACAAAAGCUGUUCCAUAUUCGUGAGCACAUGUAGAAUUCUCUGAUUUGAAGCUCCCGGAGGAUGACAUCUAGGUGCCAUGGCAUUCUGCUUAUAGCCCCAACCAUCCAGGAAGCAAAAAGGACUUCUCCUAGACCAUCACCAUCCACCAAACUCUGCCUGAUGCAUGUUGACCUGUCCCUGUUAUCUACAGUCAAUGCAGAUUCAGUGAAAGCAAUUUAUGCUUUCUUUUUCACAGAUUUUCCUUAUAAAAUGCUUUAAAAAAAAUCUGGCAGACAUUUUUCUAACUGCUACCUAUGUAGUUGGUGGCAUGGGGGAACUUUCCAUGGGAUCCAGCCUUUCUUUCUGGCUACAUUUGUGUAUGGCUGAAUAAAUCCUUUAAUUUCAGAGAUCUUUUGGUCUUUAGAAUUUUCAUUGAACACAACCAAUCUCCAGAACUCUCUUCAUCUUGCAAAAUGGAAGCUCUGUAUCCAUUAAACAAUAACUCUGCAUUCCCGCCUUCUCCAGUCCCGGGAAACCACUUUAUCCUUUCCAUCUCUGUGAAUUUGAC